rnacentral:rRNA from 1 species
UACGAAGGGAGCUAGCGUUGUUCGGAAUCACUGGGCGUAAAGCGCACGUAGGCGGAUUUGUAAGUCAGGGGUGAAAUCCCGGGGCUCAACCUCGGAACUGCCUUUGAUACUGCAAAUCUCGAGUCCGAUAGAGGUGGGUGGAAUUCCUAGUGUAGAGGUGAAAUUCGUAGAUAUUAGGAAGAACACCGGUGGCGAAGGCGGCCCACUGGAUCGGUACUGACGCUGAGGUGCGAAAGCGUGGGGAGCAAACGGG